UGCGGUGUGGGGUCGGUGCCCCACUGGGCCUCAUAAGCCCGGCCUCCAGGGUUCGACUCCCUGCUCCGCAAC
rnacentral:tRNA from 1 species